GGUCCACGAGGCUGCCAUAUUGAAUAGAGAGAAAUUCUUUAAGGGCCAGUGAUCGAGCCAUGCUAAUUUGAAAUCGCGAGUACCUAUUUCGUAUAAUCACAUUAUUUUCAUAAAAUGACUUGAGGACCCCUUCCAUUGACAUGAAUGCACGGAACUACAAGCCGGCUUCUUUUCUGCGUUGGAUGACCUAGAGAAAGCAAAAAAAAUACUGAAACUGGUUGAGGAUACAUCAGACUUACAGACUGAAGCCGAAACAGAACCAAGUCUUAAACGUAAAAUGCAAAAAAGAUAUGUUUCUAGCAGCAGUGACGAAGAUGAACAGUGAAAAAGAAAUAAACAACCACUUCAAGCUGCUGACAAUGAAGGAGAUUAUGGAGAUAGUCGUCAAGCUCAGCCAAACAUUGCCCAAGAAACCGCUUCAAUAGCAGAAAGAACCCUCUCAUUACUGACUGUAGCAGAUGAGCUUCCCAUCUUGACAAACAGUGACAACAGACUGCAAGAUUUGGCAGAAGACGGCGACGGACGGUUAACUC
rnacentral:lncRNA from 1 species